GGCACUGUGCAGCACGCGAAACACUGGUAAACUUUAUAUUUUGUAUUAAUAUUGUUUCUUCUUUUAAGACCAGUCUUCUGUGGCUGCAGUGCAGAGUCUGCUGACGGUGUCCCGGUUUAUCGGCGGCAUCAUGCGCGUGUAGGGGCGGACAGCCGAGGUUCGGCGAGCCUCGGCGGCAGUCCAAUCCUUGGUGGUGGUUUCCACGAGUCCCCUUUUUCAUUGGUGUCGUGUCACAGGUGUGGGAUUAUUUUUGGACCCCUUUUCUCUUUUGAUUUUCUGAUUUUUGCCUGCCGCCAUGGUAAGCCGACCUACCCCUUAAUAUUUAAGUUGAGUGCUUCUAUUUUUUUUAUUUUAACCUGGUGGCCUUGACCUUUACUUAUAAAAAAUUAAUGUUGUAAUUAAAUAAAGAUAUUAUUAUUAUUUUUUUUUUUGGAACACGUCUCUCGCCCGAGUGAUUAUGAACCCAUGUGUGCCUUGAGAAUGUUUAAAUGAUCCUUGAUUGAUCCUAUUGAAUAAAAUGUCCCAGGGGUGAAAUUCCUCUGGGUGGC